rnacentral:rRNA from 1 species
GNARUAAAGGAUCAUUACCGAGUGAGGGCCCUCUGGGUCCAACCUCCCACCCGUGUUUAUUUUACCUUGUUGCUUCGGCGGGCCCGCCUUAACUGGCCGCCGGGGGGCUUACGCCCCCGGGCCCGCGCCCGCCGAAGACACCCUCGAACUCUGUCUGAAGAUUGUAGUCUGAGUGAAAAUAUAAAUUAUUUAAAACUUUCAACAACGGAUCUCUUGGUUCCGGCAUCGAUGAAGAACGCAGCGAAAUGCGAUACGUAAUGUGAAUUGCAAAUUCAGUGAAUCAUCGAGUCUUUGAACGCACAUUGCGCCCCCUGGUAUUCCGGGGGGCAUGCCUGUCCGAGCGUCAUUGCUGCCCUCAAGCACGGCUUGUGUGUUGGGCCCCGUCCUCCGAUCCCGGGGGACGGGCCCGAAAGGCAGCGGCGGCACCGCGUCCGGUCCUCGAGCGUAUGGGGCUUUGUCACCCGCUCUGUAGGCCCGGCCGGCGCUUGCCGAUCAACCCAAAUUUUUAUCCAGGUUGACCUCGGAUCAGGUAGGGAUACCCGCUGAACUUAA